UCCGGCACUGUUCUUCACCCUCCGACUCGGCCCACCUGGCCUGCCCCGCGCGCCCUGCUCCUGUAGACACCUGGUGCUCCACCUCAGACGCGGCCCGCGUGGACAUGGACCACGAGGUCCAGAGGAGCCCGAGUAGGCUCAGCCUCAGUGACUUGAGCAACCUCAAUGGAGCUGGAGAGAACCCCGUGUGCCUUGAGUUCUUCCCUGCCCCGGGCUCAGGGGAGAAAGGAGCUAGCAUUCUGAUAUAACUUUAAAUAAUUAGGAACAUAAAUUACGCUUGUUGGAAUCACAAUGCAACAUUUCUUUUACCAAAUACAGACCAUGUGCUUCAUGAAUGAUUAACCAAAAGAACCGGUUACCUAUAAGUCGGCGAGUAAGUCAGCUGGGGAGGAAUUGUGGCGAAUGCAGCCUCCAUCACCAGUAAAAAGCAGCAAGUAGGGCUCCUGCAGACUGCCCGGUGCUUGGUCCACGGUAGAAUGGUGACGGCUAUCCGUCACACAUGAUGCAAACCUGUGAAGACUACAGCAACCAAGCUCCCUGGUGCAUUAGCUUCUGGUGAGAUUCAGCCCAUCACUGGCCCUAGCAGGAGGAACCAGGCUGGCAGCCACUACGCUGAGCAGCUGCCUGCAAUGGCUGCAGUGACUGUGUGUUCCCCACCCCAACUCUGCAAUCAGUAACAACACCUUGGGAACUUAAAAUCGGGCACAGAGGAAGUGUUUAUACCACAGAAAUUGGCAAACCCUACAGAUCAGGGAUCCUCACCCCAGACAGCCCAUUGCUAAGCCUUUACCAACACACCACUGACUGUAUUCCUCAACUGAAGACCACAGCUCCUAUCAGGCCUUCUCCUGUGGCUGUACCUUUCACUGACUCCAGGAACCUGCUUCCCUCACUUUUCCCUUCAUGCCCAGGGGAAGCAGUGGCUUCCCAGAAUACUUCCACAUCAUUACAGGUUGUUCUUAUCCCUGCCCACACUUAGUAAAUAUCCUCUUCAUUAAACUCUACCCAACCACUGUUUAGCAUGCUAUCUGCUUUCUGCUGGGACCCAAACCUACUGAGCUUCUAGUGGUACAGUUAAAAAUAGAACAGUGUCACAACAGAAGAUGGGGAAUAAUUUAGAGAAAGGAUUGAAUCAAUUAUCA